GGUCGAUUAGCUCAGUUGGUUAGAGCGUGGUGCUAAUAGCUUCUGCUUGACACGCCAAGGUCGCGGGUAUGUUAUCUCACACACCAUCGCAGUUACGCAAAUACUAAUAUCAAUCAGGUUCGACCCCCGUAUUGACCA